CCCUUCCGCUGUUCCUUUCAUUUUCCUCUCUGUCAUUUUUUCUUACCCGCAAAAUUUUUCUGCCUCUUUUUGUUACUGCUUCCUUCACCAUUUUAGUCCCUGUUGUUACUCUUCUUCCCUUCACCAUCGUCUCUGAUUUUUUUUAUUAAACAAAAUCUCUGAGAUCUUGGAUCUGAAUUUUUAUCCUACCAGGCUUUUAGAAGGCAGUAAUGGUGGGGCAGUGUGAAAGAACUGAGCAAAAAGGAUUCAACUAAAGACAGCUCAGUUGGACAGCCUCAUCAUGUUAACAGAGUUAAUUAAGGUAAAAUGUUUUUCUUUUUCUUACCGAAAUUUCACUCUAUUUUAUGCAUCAGCUGGAGAAUAUUGAAAUCUCUGUUUUUUAUGAGUUUACUAAAGACAGCUCAGUUGGACAGCCUCAUCAUGUUAACAGAGUUAAUUCAGAUAAUUAUGUCAGAUUUUUCACAAUCAAGUGUUUCUUCCCAAAAUUCUCGAGGAACCAAAAGGAAAUGGGUUCCAGAAGAAUAUGUUAUGUUGGUUGCCUGUAUGGUUGACUUGCACAAUGUUGAAACCUUUAAUGUAGAUACGAGAUUCAAAGCAGGUUACUUAUAUGAGCUAGAAAAAAUGUUAGAAAAAGUUUUACCUCAUGUUAUGUUGAAGGCUAAACCUAAUCUUGAAUCGAUGAUUAGGACAUUGAAAAGUGAUUGGGCAAUCGUUUAUGACAUGCUUAGUGGAAAAAACAAUAGCGGAUUUGGUUGGGACGAGCAUAGGUAGCUUGUUGUUGCUGAAGAUGUUGUGUGGAACUCAUAUAUAAAUAGUCAUAAAGAAGCCGAUCAAUUCAAACAUCGUAAUUUCCCUUAUUAUGACCAACUUAUAGCCAUCUACGCAAAAGAUCGAGCCACUGGGAAAGAUGCUGAAAUAGCCGUUGAUAUUAUUGAAGAAAUAGAUGUUGAGGAUGUAGCUACUACAAAUACUCAUGAAGAGAGGAACGAUUUCUGUAAUACCCUAAACCCGGCCUAGACGUUACAGCCGAAUCUGACAUGUCACAUAGAAGUGUUCUAUGAAAUCGAAGUCUAAUGAAGAAAAUCGUUCAAUUAAAA